CACGCACCUGAGCUCGAGCUUCUGCUGCGUCCUGGCUCCGCCCCUCCCAGACGUCACCCACAGGUAUCUCAGCGGCCAGGUGAGGAGGGCGGGGACGCCAUGUUGUGUCUUCUUCCUGUUUAUCCCAACCAGCCAGCCACGGCCUUUCCCUUCCCCCUCCCCGCCUGCCUCUAGUUUCUGGUGGCUGUGAAGGCAGUUUCUGUGUCCCAGCAUGAUUGCCAUUAGCAAUCAGUCACAGAGAUUAACCCCUGACAUGCAAGGUGGACAGUUUUUACAGAGCACGCAUGGAUCAUCUUUCUGCCAUAUGGCUUCUUCAUUCUAGCGUCAACACACAGGAGAGGUUGUGACAUGAACUUUACUGUGACUAGUACAGUUAAAGCUCAUAACACAACACAACAUAACAUAGAGGAUUAAUAAAUGUUCAUUUUGAAAGACUAUACACUAUAAUAACACAGAAAUACUACAACAGUGACCACUUAAGACACAGCGCCACCUAGUGUUUCACCAGGACAGCUUCUCAAGUCAUACUCAGCCUGCAGCUGUUAGCAUACCCCAACAAAAAUCUAAAUGUGUCAGUUGCCGGCGUUUUGGCUGAUAGUUUACUAUUCCCAAUCGUGGAUGGUAAAAUAUGAAAAAAUUGAAAAUUAACAAAAAAUAAAAAAAAAUGUCAAACUUU